rnacentral:tRNA from 1 species
GCCUCAGUAGCUCAGUUGGUAGAGCAAUCGCCUCGUAAGCGAUAGGUCGUGGGUUCGAUCCCCACCUGAGGCU